ensembl:lncRNA
GGCACGAGCGCGCCUGGAGUCAAUGGCCCAAACCCAAAGUCCGGACUCGGACUCAUGGACUUUGAUGCGCGUUCUCGCGAAAUUAGUAUGGCUUUAGGACUGUCCCAAUAUCGAAUUCCAAAUGGCGUGAGGGUUUGAGUCCACACUUAGCGUGCCCUUUCCGCGAGUCCGCAUCAGUGCAGACUUCAACUAAAGGAACCACAGUUCAGAGCGUUUUGACGUUUACCGCGGAGACCAUAUGGGAAAUCCGGAAAUAAGGAAGGUGAACAACAACACGUCGCUACUGUCAAUGCGCGACCACGGAACGCAACAUUUUCAAAAACAAGAUCAACAGCACCUAACAUGGAUCAAAGCAAUCCAGAUGACCACUGAUUAAAUCCUGCAAAGAAAAGGAAAUUUUCAUGGAGUGAACCACAAACCCUGCAGUUUAUUCAGACACGACAGGAUCAUGAGUCUCUUUUUGAGGAACACAGAAACACGCAUGUUGAAAGUUAUGUGUGACUGGAGAAGGGCCAGAGGGUGGAAAGGCAACACCUGGUACCUGGCCUUACUUCCAGGCAAUGCACAAUAUAAUGGGGCAGAGGGACUCCACCAGGCCUCUAAACAUAAUUUCUACGGCGGUGGACUCGGAUCUGGAUGAUGCAGAGGAUGAUGGCGACACUCCCAACACCUCCUCCACCUCACAGCCAUCCACCUCCACCUCCAAGCCUCCACCUCACAGCCAUCCACCUCCACCUCCCAGCCUCCACCUCACAGCCAUCCACCUCCACCUCACAGCCAUCCACCUCCACCUCCAAGCCUCCACCUCACAGCCAUCCACCUCCACCUCACAGCCAUCCACCUCCACCUCACAGCCCUCCACUACCCCAAAGAAAAGAAAAAAAUGAAGUUGUGGAAUACCUGAAGCUGUAUACAGAGAGGCAGGAAAGAAGACAGCGGGAGCUGGACGCCAGGGAGGAAGAGCGUGAGAG